rnacentral:ncRNA from 1 species
ACAGAAACCCGUGGCGAUUUGUUACCGGAUUGCGGGCCACGGAAAAUAUUCCGCUAAAAGGUCAGUCGUCGGGGACC